rnacentral:piRNA from 1 species
UGGGAGGUCUAAAGGUUCAACUCAUAAGGGA